UGGGGAAUUUUGGACAAUGGGCGAAAGCCUGAUCCAGCAAUGCCGCGUGUGUGAAGAAGGCCUUCGGGUUGUAAAGCACUUUUGUCCGGAAAGAAAUCCUUGGCUCUAAUACAGUCGGGGGAUGACGGUACCGGAAGAAUAAGCACCGGCUAACUACGUGCCAGCAGCCGCGGUAAUACGUAGGGUGCAAGCGUUAAUCGGAAUUACUGGGCGUAAAGCGUGCGCAGGCGGUUUGCUAAGACCGAUGUGAAAUCCCCGGGCUCAACCUGGGAACUGCAUUGGUGACUGGCAGGCUAGAGUAUGGCAGAGGGGGGUAGAAUUCCACGUGUAGCAGUGAAAUGCGUAGAGAUGUGGAGGAAUACCGAUGGCGAAGGCAGCCCCCUGGGCCAAUACUGACGCUCAUGCACGAAAGCGUGGGGAGCAAACAGGAUUAGAUACCCUGGUAGUCCACGCCCUAAAACGAUGUCAACUAGUUGUUGGGGAUUCAUUUCCUUAGUAACGUAGCUAACGCGUGAAGUUGACCGCCUGGGGAGUACGGUCGCAAGAUUAAAACUU
rnacentral:rRNA from 1 species